AUGUUCUCUCUAACCUGUUUGACUAGUACAAUUUAUUUUGCCCUAGUUUUUUUAUUUGUUUUCUCCAUGGACUUUGAUCGAUCUUGGCUAUGGAACGGUAAUAUUGGAAGAGAACUUGGCCAUCAUAUCAAGAUAAUGGUACCUGCAUAUCAAGGUCAUCCAUUAAACGUAGGUAUGUCUUGCAUUUUUCUUUUUUUUAAUGCAACACAAUAUGUUAUUUGUGAUCUUGGCUAUUUGAUUUUUCCUACAAUUUUGGUCAAAGUUGAUGAAAUUUGGCUUUUUAAAAAAUCUAUACGCAUCACAUUAUGA
rnacentral:rRNA from 1 species